rnacentral:rRNA from 1 species
UACGUAGGGGGCAAGCGUUGUCCGGAUUUACUGGGCGUAAAGAGCGCGCAGGCGGUCGUGCAAGUCGCGUGUGAAAGCCCCCGGCUCAACUGGGGAGGGUCACGCGAUACUGCUCGACUCGAAGGCAGGAGAGGGAAGUGGAAUUCCCGGUGUAGUGGUGAAAUGCGCAGAUAUCAGGAAGAACACCAAUGGCGAAAGCAGCUCUCUGGGACGGUACUGACGCUGAGACGCGAAGGCGUGGGGAGCGACCAGG